CCACUUUAUAUUUUGAGACAGGGUCUCUUACUGAACCGGGAGCUCAUGAAUUCAUCUGGGCUGGCUGAGAAUCAAGUCCUGUCUCUGCUUGCCCAGUGCUGGGAUGGCAGAUACACAUGGCUGAGUCGGGCUUUUUAUGUGUGUGCUGGGGGUGCGAACUAAGGUUGUUGCUUGGACACCAACUGAGCUAUCUCCAGGAGUCCUCCAGUGAUUCUUGAGUUGUGAUCACUGCUAAGCUGGGCUGGGAUGCUGGUUCCAACCCACUGGUUUUACACGUGCUAUGGAGUGUGGCUAUGACUUGUGGGAAGAUCACACUGUCUCUGUGCACCUUUCCUUUGGAGCAGAUCUGGAUGUAAAAUCCUCAGCUAUUUCUCCAGCACCGUGUCUGACUAAGUGCUACCAAGCUCCCCGCAGUGAUGAUAGUGGACUACACCUUUGAAACCUCCUGAGCAGUUGCAUGAUGACUCUUCUGGGGUCUCACAAGAAGGUAGAAAGGCAGCUGGGAGAGAGUAAAUGUGUCGUUUUCUCCAUCUGGCCUCUCCUCCCCGUCAGAUUGCAGACUCCUUGAAGGUCAGAGCCUCUGCUAUGCCCAACAGAUUCUGAGGAUGUCUUCCCUAUCAGAUUCAGAACUGCCAGAGGGCAGUGUGAGGGACAGGAGCGCAA